rnacentral:rRNA from 1 species
GGCGAACGGGUGCGUAACACGUGAACAACUGCCCUCGUGUGGGGGAUAGCCGGGCUAACGCCCGGGUAAUACCGCAUACGGUCCUUUGGGGGAGUCCCCGAGGGAAGAAAGCUCCGGCGCACGGGGAGGGGUUCGCGGCCUAUCAGCUAGUUGGCGAGGUAAUGGCUCACCAAGGCGACGACGGGUAGCUGGUCUGAGAGGAUGGCCAGCCACAUUGGGACUGAGAGACGGCCCAGACUCCUACGGGAGGCAGCAGUGGGGAAUCUUGCGCAAUGGCCGAAAGGCUGACGCAGCGACGCCGCGUGUGGGAGGACGCCUUUCGGGGUGUAAACCACUGUUGCCCGGGACGAACACGCUCUUUCGAGAGCGCUGACGGUACCGGGUGAGGAAGCACCGGCUAACUCCGUGCCAGCCGCCGCGG